rnacentral:rRNA from 1 species
CCUACGGGUGGCAGCAGUCGAGAAUCAUUCACAAUGGGGGAAACCCUGAUGGUGCGACGCCGCGUGGGGGAAUGAAGGUCUUCGGAUUGUAAACUCCUGUCAUGUGGGAGCAAAUUAAAAAGAUAGUACCACAAGAGGAAGAGACGGCUUACUCUGUGCCAGCAGCCGCGGUACUACAGAGGUCUCAAGCGUUGUUCGGAAUCGCUGGCAGUAAAGCGUGCGUAGGCUGUUUCGUAAGUCGUGGGUGAAAGGCGCGGGCUCAACCCGCGGACGGCACAUGAUACUGGGAGACUAGAGUAAUGGAGGGGGAACCGGAAUUCCCGGUGUAGCAGUGAAAUGCGUAGAUAUCGAGAGGAACACUCGUGACGAAGGCGGGUUCCUGGACAUUAACUGACGCUGAGGCACGAAGGCCAGGGGAGCGAAAGGGAUUAGAUACCCUAGUAGUC